rnacentral:lncRNA from 1 species
UUGUGAUCUGCUGGAAUUAGCCAGGUUGUUUAAACAAGAGGAGAAGGUGAUUCAGCCGCAUGAGGAGCGGGUUGAGACUGUUGUUAACCUGUAUACCGCCGAGGUCAGAAAGGAAAUGAAAAUUGGGAGCCGCUUCAGAGGCAAGUCGAGAGCAGAAUGGUAGCCUUGUUAAAGGAACAUGUGAAUACCUUUGCCUGGUC